AUGGACGCUAGCGGGAGGCCUAACACCUGCCAGCCGAGCGGUAUUGUUUCUUCGGAAAUGAGAGAGCGGCGUACGGGUGCGUAACACGUGUGCAACCUGCCUUUAUCUGGGGGAUAGCCUUUCGAAAGGAAGAUUAAUACUCCAUAAUAUAUUGAACGGCAUCGUUUAAUAUUGAAAGCUCCGGCGGAUAGAGAUGGGCACGCGCAAGAUUAGCUAGUUGGUGAGGUAACGGCUCACCAAGGCGAUGAUCUUUAGGGGGCCUGAGAGGGUGAUCCCCCACACUGGUACUGAGACACGGACCAGACUCCUACGGGAGGCAGCAGUGAGGAAUAUUGGUCAAUGGGUGCAAGCCUGAACCAGCCAUCCCGCGUGAAGGACGACUGCCCUAUGGGUUGUAAACUUCUUUUGUAUAGGGAUAAACCUACCCUCGAGAGGGUAGCUGAAGGUACUAUACGAAUAAGCACCGGCUAACUCCGUG
rnacentral:rRNA from 1 species